AUCGAAAGAUUAAAGCAGCAAUGCGCUUGGGGAUGGGCUCGCGGCCUAUUAGUUAGUUGGUGAGGUAACGGCUCACCAAGGCGAUGACGGGUAGCCGGUCUGAGAGGAUGUCCGGCCACACUGGAACUGAGACACGGUCCAGACACCUACGGGUGGCAGCAGUCGAGAAUCAUUCACAAUGGGGGAAACCCUGAUGGUGCGACGCCGCGUGGGGGAAUGAAGGUCUUCGGAUUGUAAACCCCUGUCAUGUGGGAGCAAAUUAAAAAGAUAGUACCACAAGAGGAAGAGACGGCUAACUCUGUGCCAGCAGCCGCGGUAAUACAGAGGUCUCAAGCGUUGUUCGGAAUCACUGGGCGUAAAGCGUGCGUAGGCUGUUUCGUAAGUCGUGUGUGAAAGGCGCGGGCUCAACCCGCGGACGGCACAUGAUACUGCGAGACUAGAGUAAUGGAGGGGGAACCGGAAUUCUCGGUGUAGCAGUGAAAUGCGUAGAUAUCGAGAGGAACACUCGUGGCGAAGGCGGGUUCCUGGACAUUAACUGACGCUGAGGCACGAAGGCCAGGGGAGCGAAAGGGAUUAGAUACCCCUGUAGUCCUGGCAGUAAACGGUGCACGCUUGGUGUGCGGGGAAUCGACCCCCUGCGUGCCGGAGCUAACGCGUUAAGCGUGCCGCCUGGGGAGUACGGUCGCAAGAUUAAAACUCAAAGAAAUUGACGGGGACCCGCACAAGCGGUGGAGUAUGUGGCUUAAUUCGAUGCAACGCGAAGAACCUUACCUGGGCUUGACAUGUAAUGAACAACAUGUGAAAGCAUGCGACUCUUCGGAGGCGUUACACAGGUGCUGCAUGGCCGUCGUCAGCUCGUGUCGUGAGAUGUUUGGUUAAGUCCAGCAACGAGCGCAACCCCUGUUGCCAGUUACCAGCACGUGAAGGUGGGGACUCUGGCGAGACUGCCCAGAUCAACUGGGAGGAAGGUGGGGACGACGUCAGGUCAGUAUGGCCCUUAUGCCCAGGGCUGCACACGUACUACAAUGCCCAGUACAGAGGGGGCCGAAGCCGCGAGGCGGAGGAAAUCCUGAAAACUGGGCCCAGUUCGGACUGUAGGCUGCAACCCGCCUACACGAAGCCGGAAUCGCUAGUAAUGGCGCAUCAGCUACGGCGCCGUGAAUACGUUCCCGGGUCUUGUACACACCGCCCGUCACAUCAUGGAAGCCGGUCGCACCCGAAGUAUCUGAAGCCAACCGCAAGGAGGCAGGGUCCUAAGGUGAGACUGGUAACUGGGAUGAAGUCGUAACAAGGUAGCCGUAGGGGAACCUGCGGCUG
rnacentral:rRNA from 1 species